ACGAACGCUGGCGGCGUGCCUAAUACAUGCAAGUAGAACGCACAGUUUAUACCGUAGCUUGCUACACCAUAGACUGUGAGUUGCGAACGGGUGAGUAACGCGUAGGUAACCUGCCUGGUAGCGGGGGAUAACUAUUGGAAACGAUAGCUAAUACCGCAUAAUAUUAAUUAUUGCAUGAUAAUUAAUUGAAAGGUGCAAUUGCACCACUACCAGAUGGACCUGCGUUGUAUUAGCUAGUAGGUGAGGUAACGGCUCACCUAGGCGACGAUACAUAGCCGACCUGAGAGGGUGAUCGGCCACACUGGGACUGAGACACGGCCCAGACUCCUACGGGAGGCAGCAGUAGGGAAUCUUCGGCAAUGGACGAAAGUCUGACCGAGCAACGCCGCGUGAGUGAAGAAGGUUUUCGGAUCGUAAAGCUCUGUUGUAAGAGAAGAACGGGUGUGAGAGUGGAAAGUUCACACUGUGACGGUAGCUUACCAGAAAGGGACGGCUAACUACGUG
rnacentral:rRNA from 1 species